UAGGCGUCACGGCGUUCCGCGGUUUCCUUGGAGCGGUUAUGAAGGUGGUUUAGCAACAUUCUCUUGGCUAUCCUUUCAGGGGUCAGGGGGUAACUCUCCCUGAGAGCGGGAUCCUGUCUUCGCGCCCAGAAGGCUUCAUUCUCGAGAUAAGGCGUGACCCUGAGAAGCCCCAGAGAGUUGUAAGAAGUUCCAUGUAGAAGUUCUUCCAUCAUUGGCUUCCUAUAUGAAUGUGUAGUUUCCUGAUUCUACUUCACAGCCUAUAAUCAUGGACUUGUUUAUGUGACCUUCCAAGCCAAUAACAAUUCAACUGGCUGGGCUUCUCAUUUUUCUUGAAGAUUAAUGAGUUACACUGGAUAUGCUGCUGUUCUUUAUUUUGGGAUUGCUCGUACAUUUUGUGUUCUUCGCCUCCAUCUUUGAUAUUUAUUUUACAUCUCCUUUGGUUCAUGGAAUGACUCCUCAGUUUACGUCAUUGCCUCCUCCAGCAAGAAGAUUAGUGCUGUUUGUUGCUGAUGGCCUGCGAGCAGAUUCACUUUAUGAGUUAGAUGAAAAUGGAAAUUCCAGAGCGCCAUUUAUUAGGAAUAUCAUAAUGCAUGAAGGCAGCUGGGGGAUUUCUCAUACUCGUGUGCCAACUGAAUCUCGGCCAGGUCAUGUCGCCCUAAUAGCUGGUUUUUAUGAAGAUGUCAGUGCAGUUGCCAAAGGAUGGAAGGAAAAUCCUGUAGAAUUUGAUUCUCUUCUUAAUGAAAGCAAGUACACAUGGGGCUGGGGAAGCCCGGAUAUCUUGUCUAUGUUUGCCAAAGAUGUUAGUGGAGACCAUGUUUUUAUACAUACUUAUGAUGCUGAUGAUGAGGAUUUUGGUGCUCAUGAUGUAACAAAACUGGAUACGUGGGUUUUUGAUAAUGUUAAGGAAUUCUUUCGUGCUGCCAGAAACAACCAAUCUUUGUUUUCUAAACUAAACGAAGAGAAAAUAGUUUUUUUCUUACAUUUAUUAGGAAUAGAUACAAAUGGACAUGCUCACCGACCAUCAUCGAGGGAAUAUAAGGACAAUAUUAAAAUAGUCGAUGCAGGAAUAAAAGAAAUUGUGUCUAUGUUUAAACAUUUUUAUGGAAAUGAUGGGAAAACAGCAUUUGUCUUUACAGCUGACCAUGGAAUGACAGACUGGGGUGUCCAUGGGGCUGGUCAUCCUUCAGAGACUUUAACUCCUUUUGUCACUUGGGGAGCUGGAAUCAAGUAUCCCCAAAACGUAUCAACUCAGCAAUUUGAAGAUGCGUUUUUGAAAGAAUGGAAAUUGGAGAACUGGAAGAGGCAAGAUAUCAAUCAGGCUGAUAUCGCUCCAUUGAUGGCUUCUCUUAUUGGAGUUCCCUUUCCGCUUAAUUCAGUGGGGAUCCUUCCUUUGGAUUAUCUUAACAACACUGAUCUCUUCAAAGCGGAGAGCAUAUUUACAAAUGCCAUACAGAUCCUUGAACAGUUCAAGGUGAAAAUGACUCAGAAAAAAGAAGUUACUUUAUCAUUUUUGUUUACACCGUUUAAGUUGCUUUCUGAGUCUAAACAGCACAACAUUUUAAGAAAAGCAAGAUCUUAUAUAAAACAGAGAAAGUAUGAUGAAGCAAUCUCCCUUUGCAAGGAGCUGAUUCAUCUUGCAUUGAAAGGAUUGUCCUAUUAUCACACUUACGACAGAUUCUUUUUGGGCAUCACCGUUGUUCUUGGUUUCGUGGGAUGGACAUCUUAUGCUUCUUUGUUGAUCCUCAAGUUUCAUUCCAACCUUCCCAGAGGUGGUAGUAGAGAAGUUAAGAAACCAAGCCGUCUCCUGCAAUAUAGUUUUGUAGCUAUUGGUGUUUUAGUAGCAUUUUUCCUGCUGAUUCAAGCAUAUCCCUGGACUUAUUACAUCUAUUGUUUAUUGCCAGUGCCAAUAUGGUAUGCGGUUCUAAGAGAAUUUCAAGUUAUUCAAGACCUUGUUGCAUCACUCUUGAGCUACCCUCCGAGUCAUUUUGUUGGAUACCUGUUAGUCUCUACCCUGGGAAUUGAAGUAUUAGUUCUCAGUUUUUUCUACCGCUAUAUGCUUACAGCUGGACUUAUUGCGUUUGCGGGUUGGCCAUUUAUCACUCAGUUGUGGACUCGAGCAAAGAGGACCUCACUGAAUUGGAUUUUCUUCUCUUUGCUCCUGGCAGUGUUCCCUCUGAUGCCUGUUGUAGGACGAAAGCCAGAUAUCUCUCUAGUAAUGACUGCCGGCUUGCUGGUUCUUCUCCUAUCCCUGUUUGUUGUAGCGUCUCUCACAAAAAGAAAAGAUAGUUUUGUAAAUGAAGAGCUACUGUUGCAUCUAUUACAGAUGCUGAGCAUGGUGCUUUCCAUGUACGUUGUGUAUAGCACCGAUAAUAGUCUACUCAAGAAACAAGGACUUCCUCUUAUUAACCAGAUCAUUAGCUGGAUAAUAUUAGCCUCUUCCUUCGUCCUGCCGCUACUGAGCCCCCCGAUUCUUUUUGAGCGAUUGUUUAGCAUACUUCUUUCUCUGAUGUCAACCUACAUACUUCUAAGCAGAGGGUAUGAAGCUCUCUUUCCAUUAGUAUUGUCGUGUUUGAUGUUUGCCUGGAUACACAUGGAACAAGAAACCCUACAACAAUCUGGUGUUUCCUGUAAACAGAAGAUCAACAGUAUCCAGUUCAUCUAUAAUACUGAUCUAACCCAGUUCCGACAGCUCUGUCUGGAUGACAUCCGGAGGGCCUUUUUCCUUGUUUUCUUCUUAGUGACAGCAUUUUUUGGAACUGGGAAUAUAGCUUCUGUUAACAGCUUUGAUGUUACCUCUGUCUAUUGCUUUCUGACCGUGUUUAGUCCCUUUAUCAUGGGAGCCCUGAUGAUGUGGAAGAUUUUAAUCCCCUUUGUUCUUGUGAUGUGUGCUUUUGAAGCAGUUCAGUUAACUACCCAGUUAUCAUCAAAAGGUCUUUUCCUCAUGGUUCUCGUCAUAUCAGACAUUAUGGCUUUGCAUUUUUUCUUCUUGGUCAGGGAUUAUGGCAGCUGGCUUGAUAUUGGAACAAGCAUCAGCCACUACGUGAUUGUCAUGUCUAUGACCAUGGUUCUGGUCUUUCUCAAUGGCCUGGCACAGCUGCUCACGACAAAGAAACUCACACUGUGUGGCAAACCCAAAAGCCAUCUCAUAUGAUGGUGCUGAAGCCGUCAUUCAGCCUCUGGAUCUCGUUUCGCCUUCUCCUUGUAAACUAAAAUCUUAUCAAGGAUUCCAUAGGAAGAUGGAUAUUGAUGCACAGAUGCCACCACAGCGUGGCUUGACGACUGGUGCUAGAUCCGCAUGUGGGAUCCAAACCUGUGGACCACGGGCCACCGAAGUGGAGUGCACGAACUUAGCUACUACGCCACCGGGCCGGCCCCUAAAGGAUUAGUUUUUAAUUGUAGACUCAAUAUCUGUUGCCACCAUAGCUUUUAUUAUGAUUUGUUUCAACAGAAUUCUUUAAAUCAGUGGUUAAACUUUCUAAUAUCAUAAGAAUCAAUGUUAAAAUUGCUUUUCUAUCUGAUUGUGAGAUUCUAGUCCAAAGGUCUUAAAGUCCUCUCAUUAAAUUUAGAUUUCCAUUCGUAAAUUAAUUCUAAUGGACAAAAUUUGUUGUAAUUUUUAUUUGGAUGUUUCUUAAAGUGACCUUUACAUCUCACUGUAGAGUUGGCCUUUUGCCCAUGGUGUGCUAGCAGAUUUUGGCUGAAGCUAAGCUUUGCUGGUCUGAGUCCUGUUUUUAAAAGAUAAUUGCUUUUGAAUUAAGUUAUAGCAUUACCAAUUCACAUCAUGAUGAGGAAGCCUUCUCCAAAUUACUAGAUUUUUCAAAUUGGCAGGUGAGUGAACAAAUACAACUUAGAAGACAAAAAAUCAGUUUGGCAAAAUGUGCUUUCUUAAUUUCUGUUCAUGAUGAAGUAUAAUUACAACAUAUUUGUGACAGUACUUCAUGGCGUACGAGCAGAAGCAUUAUAGUACCAAGAAGAAAGCACUGAUGUCCCUGUGAGAGCUCAUGCCUCGGGCUGUAGUGUAAAAUCUGGGUGGACAAGUAAGGAGCUGCUAUAGCAGAUGGUGACGUUGGCAGGUAGAGAAUGCAGGAGCUUUCACGUUGCCUCAAAGGAUUUUUAAUCAGUUUUUUCAAAAGUCAGAGAAAACUGACUUUAUAAACACUUACCAUUUAACUCCUUUUCUAUCUGGUUUGCCUUUCAUCUUUUCCUGGAUUUUCAAGCAGAGAAUGAAUGAAUAUUUUAUUACGACUUUGUAAAAGGUGUCAGUGCUCUACCUUUAUUUUGCUGUUUGAAGUAUGACUUUUUCUUAAUACUGUUUUGAGUCAGUGUGAGUUUACAAAGCAGGAGCAUGCGCCUGCAGCCGCAGGCUCUCCGCGCUCCCUGCAACUGGGCCCCCGAGACUCACCUCAGAGCAGAGUUUGCUGGACAGGCCUUUUCUGUUACACAGUUCAUCAACUCUCCUAAAGUGUUUUGCAGUGCAUAUUUUUAUAUUGAAUAGCAGAGAAAAAAUAAAUAAGAUUUAUGUAAAAUGUAUUUCUGUUUAAUUUGCUUUUUCAUUCUAACUAUGAAUACCAGAUUUCCAAAUCAAGACUUAAGACAUUUGCUGAGUAACAUCAUUUAGAUUAGGAAUUGCUAUAAAAAUUCAAGUGAGCAUAUCAGGGUAAGAAAAUAUCAAACAACAAAAAAGCCAUAGUGUGUUGCGUGAACCAUGAAUAAGUCUUGGAGGAAACUCUAAGGAUUUAGGAAACUAACUGCAGCCUAUCCACAAUUUACCAGUGUUUUAAUUCUCUGUAUUGUAUUUAGUGUGCAGUAUUUAGAACACAAAAUGCUUUUUCACUUUUUAGGGAAAUAAUGUUAUAAAUGGUAGCAUAUUCUUACAAUAAUCCCCUCAAAAUGAUUUAACAAUGAUAGAGUUGAACUACAUUUAAUCUAUUCAUCACUUAUGAUAUUGAUUCUAGCGAAAAACUCAUUCCAAAUUUCAGCCAAGUCGGAUAUUAGGAACAUAUAUGUCCACCCAGAGCCCCUACCUUUACACCCUUGUUAUGGUAGACUGGGGACCCCUUCGCUCCUCCACCUUUUGAUACAUAACUGUGCCAUCAAAAAUGUAAUUUCUGGUGGAGCUGGCCCUGGAGGACUUGGGGUUGGGGAGGAUUGCACAAAUAUUGUCCCUAAAGACAGGCACUAGAUGCUGCAGGGUUCCAGCUCUCCUGGGGAGGACUGGUUGAGCUCCCGUGUGUCCGCCAGACGCCGUCUAUUCAGGAGGCCUGAGGAGAGUGAGCUGAGUCAACUCAGUCAUUUGGAGAGGACCCCUUCGGGCCAGUUCUGAGGACUGCUUUAAGAGACCAGAGACACUUGGUAAUGCUCACCUUUUCAGAGUUACUCUUUUUAUGUCAACAUUCUCUUCAUCCUCUCUAAAAUGCUUUACAGUGGGAUUGUUACGGUAUGUGUUUUCAGUACUGUGGUAAUUACUAUCUUGUAGCAUUUUCCCAUUUCUACAUCAGCGUGAUUUGUAAGAAAGGUGGGUGGGAUUUCUGCACACAAUACUCAUUCUAUAAAAAAAACAUUUGAGAAGAUAUGUCUCACUUACUAGUUUCCUUAGAGACACUAAAACAGAUCACAGCUGUUGCUCAACUCACCACCCUUAGAAUCUCAGUAUUUAUUUGCGACAUAGCAGCAUUUCUCAAAGGAUGUCCCUUAGAACAUGAGUUCCUUAGGAUACAAAUAGAUGUCAUAAUAAAAAGGGUUCCCUGACCAAAUAUAUUUGAGAAACGCUUGGUCAAACAAAGUUAACUAGGUGUAUUUAUUGUAGUACUUUGGGAACUGAACUUGGUAUAUGCCUCGUGGAGGGAGGAAGAUAGCAGUAGGCCAAAAAUCCCACUCGCUUGAUUACAGUCCUGUCUUAAACUCUCCCUCCAACUGGUAAACAUACUUCAGAAAUGUCACCAUACACUUUUGCAUAAAAACUUCAGUUUGUCACAGUGUUUUGAAAAAAGGCGUUGUAAGCUUAACUGAAUCUUUUCCGAGAGCUGGAAAACCAUUUUCAUUUUAACCCUUAAUGUGGGAAAACUUUAAAAUGAGCUAUUAAUUUUACCUGCCUCUGUAUAAAUCAUGCCUGUUAUCAUUUAGUCUUGCAUGUAGGAACCUUCAGUCCUACAGGACUGGCAUCCAGUUCAUCACAGAUCAUCGGACAGCCCUGUUAGAAUUUGGACUAAGUCUUUAUACUUUCUAUUUUACCUCGUUUACCAGAAAAAUAAAUUUAGAACAAAUAUUGGCUUAUUUUCUUGUGAUUUGCACUGUAGAAGGUGAUUACUAGUUACAUUUUUGUGCGUUCCUUGUUUUUUCUCUUUUACUUAUUUCUCUCUUCCCCUGUUUUCUGUCUUUUCUACUCAUGUCGUUCCGCUCUCUUGGCCUCACUUAGAACUCCAUAUGUAUAGGGACGUGUUUUCCUUCAUGAGGUAGUCUCUGCAUUCGACAUGGAUACAGUGUGAGUGAGUACAGCUCAGCUGUGCCACGUCUGCUUGGCAGUCUCUUCUGGAGUAGCUGUGUUUCCGUUGCUAACCGUGUCUCUGGCAGGAGCCCCGGGGUUUGUUAUGACUCUCUGCUCACCACAGUUGACUAGUUUAGGGUGUGCAUCUGAGUAAAGGGGUGCAAGCCGGGCAAAUCUGAGUUCUUUGCAAGAUUUUCAAGCUAGAACAGAGAGAAAAUUUGUAAGACGUGGAGUUUAGGAGCUGUUGUUGGCUAAGUUUAAUUGAGAUACUCCAGUACCUUCCAGUAAGUAACCUUCCAUCACAUACUUAUUAUCCGAUAAAAAGAGGGACUUAUGUUACUGGUAUUUCUAAGAACACAGUGGAUAAUGACAAGUCCAAAGCUCCACUUAAAAUGUUUAUUUUUGUAUAUGCUUUUUACCUUAUGCUUUCUAAAUCGGCAUCGAUUGGGCAGAAUGGUUCAGUGAUGUUUCUUCUAGGUCCUUGUGGCUGCAUAGUCUGCUGCCCAGUUUCCCUUGGCUCCAACCAUUUUUUGACCCUUCCCAGUUAUUCUACAAACCAUUCAUUUCCUAAAAGAUUUUGUCUGCAUCUCUGUUGCUUAUAAUCAAGAACUUCAAUUGAUGUGCAUGCUUUGAAUGUGUUUGUAAAUGAAUCUCUUCAAUAUUCACUGUGAUUUCUAAUUAUGGCUUUUAAAAACAAUGUGAUAAAACUUAUAUAGCCCUUACAAUGUGCCAGGCAUUGUUUUAAAUGC